AACGAACGCUGGCGGCAUGCCUAACACAUGCAAGUCGAACGAGACCUUCGGGUCUAGUGGCGCACGGGUGCGUAACGCGUGGGAACCUGCCCUUAGGUUCGGAAUAACUCCCCGAAAGGGGUGCUAAUACCGGAUAAUGUCAUCGGACCAAAGAUUUAUCGCCUUUGGAUGGGCCCGCGUUGGAUUAGCUAGUUGGUAGGGUAAAAGCCUACCAAGGCGACGAUGCAUAGCUGGUCUGAGAGGAUGAUCAGCCACAAUGGGACUGAGACACGGCCCAGACUCCUACGGGAGGCAGCAGUGGGGAAUAUUGGACAAUGGGCGAAAGUCUGAUCCAGCAAUGCCGCGUGAGUGAUGAAGGCCUUAGGGUUGUAAAGCUCUUUUACCCGGGAUGAUAAUGACAGUACCGGGAGAAUAAGCUCCGGCUAACUCCGUG
rnacentral:rRNA from 1 species